UUUGUAACUUUCACCAGUUACCUUUUUUUCAGUUAUGUUCAAGCAAAUACUCAAACUGGACAAGAGUUUGGGACGACGAACAAAAAAAUCCUUACAAAUACAAAGGAAAUCAAUGGAUAGGAUACGAUGAUGAAAAGUCUAUCAGGAAAAAGGCUCAGUAUGUAGUUUCUCAGAAAUUGGCUGGUAUCAUGAUCUGGCAGAUUGGGCAAGACGAUGUAUCAGGAGACUGUGGAGAAAAACAAAUACUUCUGAAGAUAAUAAAUGAAGAAUUGAAACAAAAACCAUAGAAUGAAAUGUUCGAUGAAAUCAUAUUGACUGACAUUUCAAAGAUAACUUCAAUGAAACUAAAUAUUUGUCAUUUUUAUCCAUCACAAGUUAGUUCACAAUUUUUUGACAUUUGUCGAAUUACAGGAAAAGUUUAUUAUCAAAUCAAUGUCUUCAUUAAAAUUUCUCAUAGAAGACAGUUCACUCAGGUAUUUUUCUUGUUAUUUAUUUUGUACAGUAUUAUUGUAUUUAUUAUUGUUUUAAUAGUCAAUAAAUAGUCUAUUCGGAAUCAA